AAAAAGUGUUGUUUAGGAUUGCAAGGACGAAUUGAGUUAUUACGCACUUCACAGGGUUCCAUAACGGAAAUAUGCAAAUAAUUCUAGAAUGCGCCCAUAAGAUCUCACUGGCUUGUGCUUGGGUCUGCCCACCCCCUUGCUUGUUCUACCUACUAUGAUUCAUUUGCUCUCAUUGGAAACGACAGGUUGUGGUCUAUCUUGGGGAACAGAACGCCUGAGGGGAAGGAUAUAAUCCAUCUGACCAAGGAUGCAGAGAAAUAUGCAGGGCCUUCCCAGGUCCCGACUCCAGUUGUGGUUGUGACCCACUCUCAAACAUCAGUCGGUGUCCCCAAGAAGCGCAUCUACGUAGUACCCAUGCCCCGGCGGGCUCCUAAAGAGCCACAAAUCCAGAUUCAGACUCCCGCUGCAGAUGCAACCCAAACCCUGACUCCAGUCCCAUCCACAAAACACAUCUUUAUUGUAUCCCAACCUUUCUCCGCUCGGGCUCGACGCAAACCCAGGUACCAGGCACUAGGAAACACAUCUACGUAGUAGCUCAGCCCCAGAAUGCUGCUGGGGUCAGGACCCAACCCCAAACUACAGCCAGGAUCACGACUCAACCCCAAACUACAGCUGGGAAAAUAGACCCACUUAAAGUGCCAGGACAGUCCCAGAUCAAGACUCCAACUGGGGUCACAGUUAAAUCCCAGAUUGUAGCCAGUGUCAAAGCCCAAACCCAGCCUCCAGUAGGGAGAACAGACCCUCCUAAUGCUCCAAGGCAGACUAGGAAGAUGGUUCACUUCCAAUACCAGCCUCCGACAGCCAGGGGUGCAGCCCCAACCAAGACUGAUGCCCAGACUCAGACCCCUACCGUCGUGGCAGAGGUGGUCUCUAUGCUGCAACACGGAGAUGUGAGACCUGCACCGCAGCCAUACCUGGUCCACAAAGAAGAGGUGCUGAGGAGGAUGGAUGCGCCAGAGAAGAUGUCAGUGAGGACAUUGCUGAUGUACACUGGGAAGAACUCGGCAGACCUAGACAGCAAGAACAGAUUGGUGAAAAACCUGAUUAAGGCUGGAAUCUCCCCUGUCGAGACCCCUGCCUAUAUCACCAGUGCCUUCACCAGGCUCACCGAGGGCGACACCACAAUGCUGUGUAGUGACAUGAAGUCCCUAGCUAUCAAACACCUCAACUUCACCAACAUGGCCGAGCAGCUCAUAGAAGAGACCAACCCUGUGCAGCACUGGUCCAAGAUCAUCGAUAUCAAAGCCCAGCUAGAGGAGAUGAGACUGUGUUUCAGGGACCCAGCUAACAGUCGUCUGAUGGACAAUGUGACCCACGGUAUGAGCACGGGCGUGAUGGACGCCGCCGACAUCAUCUCUACCCUCAUUGACUACCAGGUGCAGCUAAUCGCCUGUCUAGUAAACACCAUGCCUUCACACCAAACUCCCACUAGGACGGCUGUCAAAACUAGGCCUUCCCGGCCCUUCAGACUUCCGUAUCCCUCGUCAAACCCCCUGUUAUCACCAUUCCGACGCCCGUGGGCCCAUUCGCCUCCUUACCCCCCUUGAAACGGCUCUAUGUGAUAGCCCAGCC
rnacentral:lncRNA from 1 species